UAAAGCUUUUAUUCUUAAAAAAAUGACAUUUACAUGAAAUAAAUAUAAAUUAAUUGAUAUUGAAGUGAUUAAAUUCAAGAUACUGUAUGAAUCGGACUGUGAUCAAUACGCAGCACUUUUCCUUCAUCAUGUGUUGUAUUACAUUGUGUACCUUUGUAUCUGCAUCUGUGAAAAGGAAAGAUCCUGAUAGUGGAAAUGCACAGAAAACAGAAGCUUUAUAUGCAGCACAUUGUGUCUCAUUGUAGAAUGUGAAGAGGUGCUGUAUUCAGUGCAGCAGGAUGAAGGAGAGCAGAGAACAGCAGAGGAACAGGAAGCUCUGAGUGACACUCUGAGCACCAUUACACAGGUUUCCCUCACAGCAUGAGACAUCAGGAUUUGAUGCUACAGCAGCACAAAUAGAUUGAGAGACACAGCCUUUUACAACCAUUGACUGACUCCCUGGCAUGAAAUUUUCUCCUGAAAAGAAAGAAAACCCAGGUUGAGUCUAAGCUUUACUGCAGAUUCUCACCUGUUCCAUUAAAGCAGUAGUUGGCAUUCCCUGUACAGCGCAAUAUGUUUGAGCAGCUCUUCUCAUCACAAUAGUAACAUUUCUUUCCAUUGGGGGCAAGAGAGUUGGGAUCUACAAGAUGAAAACAAUAUGUCCCUUGGAAGUAAAAUGAGUGUUGACUUUAAAGAUCAAAGUCAUUUGCAUAUGGUCAGGAAAUCACACAAUACCUGGAGCGUCUUGGAAGUUACACAGUUCUGUGUUACAGCACACUGAAGACACCCAUGCAACGCCGAAGUUAGUUGACACACUUACACAAACAUCAGCACAACUUUUAAACAUCAAUUUAGUAGUGUUGCCACCUAAAAACAUGAAUAAUUUGACAAAUUUUAUAAAACAGUUCAACAGUGCACAUUGUUUUAAUGUAAAAUUGAUUUAUAAAUAUGUCAACAUUUAUAAUUUUUCUCAUUUCAAACAGAUACAGUAUGUAUAGAAUAUUUUCUGUUUGAAUUGGUAAAUUCCUCCAGGAUAACAAGUAGCUGUUCUGUAACAAGUUACAUUUUAAUCCAUCAUACUGGACUUACCAAUUUGUGUUAUUGCUGUUAGACUCACACAGCUGGACCUUUCAUUGGAGCAUGUUUUUUCCUUUGGAGCUUCACAAGAACCCGUCAAAUCUGUGCACUCAUAACACCUGAGAGAGUGUCCUUUAGUAAUAAAACACAGAGGACAGUGACAGACAUCUAUUAUCUGUAUUUGUGUUUAAUAACAUUAAGAACUAUUUGUCUUUGUACCUGCAGUGAAAAAAAUGAUCAGAAGAAAAAGUGAGAUUUGCAGAUUCAUAUUUGAUCAGGAGGCGAAUAAUAUAAUGUACCUGUUUCAGCCCUCAUUUUAUAGCUUAUCAGAGGGUGUGGCUCUUUAUGAGCAAAUUAAAGUUUAACAGAUUUCUGGAAUCAGAAGCUUACAUCAUUUAAUCGAAGGGAUGUUUGAUGAGGAAUUGCAGUUCACCCCAAAAUAUAUUUAUUUAUGUCAGAUGAUGUUCUUUCUUUAGUGGAACACAAAAAAAUAUAUAGAAAAUAAUAGGUAAUGGCAGAAUAAUCUAAUUAAAGAAAGUGGGCUAAUAUAUAUAAUGAUUUUGAUAUAUUAAUGUAUUAUUUUAAGCAAUGUUUCAGUACAGGCCUAAUGAAAAUAACUACCAAAGCAAACAGUGAAUCUGUUUAUGUAAUUCCAUAUAGGUUAUAAGUAUCAUAAUUUGAUCUUUUGCUAUUCUAUAUACAUUGUAAAUACUUUAGCCAAUGUUAUACAUCCUUAAACUCUGUCAAACUGACAUGUAGCAAAGUACUUCUUACAUGUGCUGUGUUUUUGCAUGACUGACAGAUGACUACCCUAGAAAAUUAUCUAGGGUCACUUCCUUCCAGCUAACCCUAAACUGCUGUUAAAAUUCAGAGACACUUCAAGACACUUCAGAAUAUAAAAGUUAUUACCCAUUUGAAGGCAGUAGCAUUCAGUUGGCUUUAAUGCUGAACUUGGGGAGUUACAAAGCAGAAAUCAUGUUUCCCAUUCUUUGAUUGAAUGUUAAAUUGAUAUGGACAAUUGUUUGCUUGCAUGUUGUUUUAUUCUCCUGUUCUAGUUCAGUAAAAGAUCAUUUUGUAUAUUUUUAUGUUCUGUUUGAUCACCAAAAAUGA